rnacentral:lncRNA from 1 species
UAUGGAGAUCUUGAUUUGUAAUCGCCGAACAUUUGUUAAGAUCUUUUUUGUUAUCAAUCUUAUCUUGAUGAUGCUCUUUCAUGAAAAGGCUAGCUAGUGCUACUUUGGGUUGCUUAUUUGCUUACCUAGAAUGAUCAUCUUGAUGUGUUAUUAUGUUCCGAUAGUUGAGUACCCUGUGUAGUGAUAAUAUUGUGGGUGGGAAAGUGUUGGCAUGGUUCACAACCACUCACGAUAACACCUAGAUCUAAUUCAUUCAUGCAUGGUGAUUGCAUCUACAAGUGAUCCUAGAUCCCUAGAACAAGCAUUUAAUCUAUCUUGUUCACAACCUUUACUCUCUAUCCAUCUUAAUCUAGAUUGCUUAGUUCUUUUAUUAGCAUAAUCAUAUCCUAUUCAAAGAGAUUUUGAAUACAUUGAUUAGUGCUUAGUUAAGCGUGCAAAUCUCUUAUUCCAUGGAUUGAUAAACCUUGGAGGAAUCUCUAAGGGAAAAGCUACAACUGAUCCGUACGCUUGCG